rnacentral:rRNA from 1 species
CAGUAGCCGCGGGAAUACAGAGGGUGCGAGCGUUAAUCGGAAUUACUGGGCGUAAAGCGUGCGCAGGCGGUUAUAUAAGACAGAUGUGAAAUCCCCGGGCUCAACCUGGGAACUGCAUUUGUGACUGUAUAGCUAGAGUACGGCAGAGGGGGAUGGAAUUCCGCGUGUAGCAGUGAAAUGCGUAGAUAUGCGGAGGAACACCGAUGGCGAAGGCAAUCCCCUGGGCCUGUACUGACGCUCAUGCACGAAAGCGUGGGGAGCAAACAGGAUUAGAUACCCCCGUAGUCCCUGUCUCUUAUAC